CAAUAGCGUAUAUUAAAGUUGUUGCAGUUAGAACGCUCGUAGUCGGAUUUCGGGGCGGGCCGACCGGUCUGCCGAUGGGUACGCACUGGUCGGCGCGUCCUUCCUUCCGGAGACCGUGCCUACUCUUAACUGAGCGGGGGCGGGAGACGGAUCGUUUACUUUGAAAAAAUCAGAGUGUUUCAAGCAGGCAGCUCGCUCUUGCAUGGAUUAGCAUGGGAUAAUGAAAUAGGACUUUGGUGCUAUUUUGCUGGUUUCGAACACCGAAGUAAUGAUUAACAGGGACAGUCAGGGGCACUCGUAUUCCGCCGAGAGAGGUGAAAUUCUCAGACCAGCGGAAGACGAACUACUGCGAAAGCAUUUGCCAGGGAUGUUUUCACUGA
rnacentral:rRNA from 1 species